rnacentral:rRNA from 1 species
GAUGAACGCUAGCGGCAGGCUUAACACAUGCAAGUCGAGGGGUAUAGUAGCAAUACUAGAGACCGGCGCACGGGUGCGUAACGCGUAUGUAAUCUACCUUUUGCAGAGGGAUAGCCCAGAGAAAUUUGGAUUAAUACCUCAUAGUAUUAUGAUAUGGCAUCAUAUUAUAAUUAAAGUCACAACGGCAAAAGAUGAGCAUGCGUCCCAUUAGCUAGUUGGUAAGGUAAAGGCUUACCAAGGCGACGAUGGGUAGGGGUCCUGAGAGGGAGAUCCCCCACACGGGUACUGAGAAACGGACCAGACUCCUACGGGAGGCAGCAGUGGGGAAUAUUGGACAAUGGGCGCAAGCCUGAUCCAGCCAUGCCGCGUGCAGGAUGAAGGCGUUAUGCGUUGUAAACUGCUUUUAUACAGGAAGAAACGACUCUUGCGAGAGGCAUUGACGGUACUGUAUGAAUAAGCACCGGCUAACUCCGUGCCAGCCGCCGCCGUAAAAC